AUUUAAGGGCUGGCAACUGAAGGAGAAGCAUCUCUACUUGGAGGUUGCCUCUUUUUGGAGUUUUUAGUGAGCACUGAACCUCAGAAAGGCUAGGCAGUCUAGACGGGGAGACAUCUGAAAAACUUUCCUUAACUAAGCAGAGUGGUUAUCUACCUCACUGCUAGUUCUGAAUGCUAGCUUAAAGUGAGCGAGGAAACAGAGCAGGUAGAUGGAAUAUGACGUUAGGAACCAGAUUGCCUUUUUCAGCAGCAUCUUACAUAUCUAAGAUGAAAAUACCUGUUGAACUGCCUUGUCUUGAUCUCUCCUGUCUGUCUCUGUAUGCUCUCCUUAGCUGUACCUAAGUGCAAUUGAACUUGUUGCACUGUGUGGUUCAGACUGGCUGUUUCGAUGAUCCAGUCUGUUCACACGAGGUAGCAUUACCAAGAAGCUGUGUAAAUUGACGAACCAUGAGACAGUAUGAAUAUAUGCAUAUAUUGUUUAAAGUAUUGCGGAUUGAGGACUGGUCUUUGUUAGAAGCUGGACUCCUUGGAGCAUGUUGCGACCCAAAUAAAGAAGAGAUGUAUUUUUAUCCAGAGAAUGUCUUCAAUUACUGGAAUUUCAGAGUUUUGCCUCUCUUGAGGUGAGUGUUUUGUUGAGGUUGUCUUUGGUGCUCCAAGGAGAGCUAGUCAUGCUCAGAAGAAUGGUGCUGGAGCCUGCAAAAGGCUUGGAAGAUGUGCUAUGAUACAUAGAGUGAGCAAAGAGGACAGCUUUAUGGAUGCUCUCACAGAAGCAGAGCAGCUCAUAAGAAGGCCAGGGUUCUUUGCUGGCUUCUGUUUUGCUUGACGUUAAAGGAUGGAUGUUACUCUUCAUGUGUGUUCUUGUAACCCGUGUACUCAACAAAAGAAUGUCACUUGGUGACUGUGUUGUAUAACAUGUGCCUGAUGCUGUCUGCAGAGCUGGCAGAUAUAAAUAUAUUGCAAGGGGAAUCUGAGGAGCAGCCUACACACCUGAAAUGUUUUCAGGAGGAUCAUAGCUAUUAAACAGCUUGAAAAGACCAGUAGAGUCUCUAGAGGGUUAAGUGGCAGCUUUGACCUUAUGGAAACUUUACUUGCUGAUCUCACAAAGGAGGCGUUAGCUGAAGUGCAAGAUAAGUCUAUAAUGGAAUUACUUUCAGCCUCACAAAAUGUACUUUGCAGCAAGGUCUACAAAAGUUGUGCGUUCCUUAAAAAGAAAGCAGGAGCCAGAGGGUAAACCGUGUCUUCUCUUCCCUGAUGGUUUCUUCAUUUUGUGGAAUCAAUCUCUACUCAUCCACCCUGUUUAACAUUCACUUGCCUGGCCAUGGGAAUAUCUCACAACCUGCAACAGUGAUUACAUCUGUGAUUAGGGGCUAGGAACUCCUUUCAUUGAAUAUAUAACAUUUACUGUCUCUGUUAGAGGAGUAUAAAUAUGCUGUUUUAGCUUUAUCCUAUAGUAGGAGCACAGUCAAUACCUGUAUCAGCUAUUCAUAUUCUGGAAUUAAAACUAGUGGUUUUUUUCAGUGAACUUUAUUCAGUAAAAUCAUACUUUAUGGUAAAUGGACCGGCUCAGUCAGUGUGGAAUGACGACUUUGAUUAAGCAAUGCCAGUUUCUUGUUUGUUGUUGUAUAUGAGUAUCUUUAUUUAAACACAUUGAUGCUUUUGUGGAAGGACUGUUCUUCCAACUCAUUGCAACCCCUUUUGUUCCAUUCUUGUGACUCUUUAUACAAGGAGGAGAGACUAUGUGCUGGUUGCCUCUACUGAGAGGUAGUUGGUAGGGUGCAGCUAAUAAGCUGAGGGAAAGGGAGUGUUUGUUAUGAAAAUAUUCUUGUUACUCAAUAA
ensembl:lncRNA